rnacentral:rRNA from 1 species
AUUGAGCGCUGGCGGCAUGCUUUACACAUGCAAGUCGAACGGCAACGAGGAGAAGCUUGCUUCUCUGUCGGCGAGUGGCGAACGGGUGAGUAUAGCAUCGGAACGUGCCAAGUAGUGGGGGAUAACCAAACGAAAGUUUGGCUAAUACCGCGUAAGCUCCAAGGAGGAAAGUAGGGGACCUAAAUAAGGCCUUACGCUAUUUGAUCGGCCGAUGUCGGAUUAGCUAGUUGGUGGGGUAAUGGCUCACCAAGGCAAUGAUCCGUAGCGGGUCUGAGAGGACGAUCCGCCACACUGGGACUGAGACACGGCCCAGACUCCUACGGGAGGCAGCAGUGGGGAAUUUUGGACAAUGGGGGAAACCCUGAUCCAGCCAUGCCGCGUGUAUGAAGAAGGCCUUAGGGUUGUAAAGUACUUUUGUUAGGGAAGAAAAGCUAGUUUUUAAUAAAAAUUAGUGAUGACGGUACCUAAAGAAUAAGCACCGGCUAACUACGUG